UCAAGAGUGUUUAUAACCUUUCACUUAUAAAAUAGUGGGGUUAACCUCCCGUCCUUUGCUGACCCCCCUCACUAAAUUUUAGGGAGGGGGUUUCAUAUAAUUAUCUGCUUCGGUGGGGUUACCCACCGGAACACCCUCAAAAAAUUCUUUUUAAGACUGUUCAGUCCGAGGAUUUUUGAAAUUGAUGA
rnacentral:misc_RNA from 1 species